AGCGAACGCUGGCGGCGUGCCUAACACAUGCAAGUCGAACGUGAAAAGGGAAACCCGAGUAAAGUGGCGUACGGGUGAGUAACGCGUAGGUAAUCUACCCCAGAAUCUGGAAUAACCCGCCGAAAGGCGGGCUAAUACUGGAUAGAGCGAGGGAACUCGUAAGAGAGUUUUUCGGGAAAGGGAGCCCGCAAGGGCCUUCGUUCUGGGAUGAGCCUGCGUCUCAUUAGCUAGUUGGUAAGGUAACGGCUUACCAAGGCGAUGAUGAGUAGCUGGUCUGAGAGGAUGAUCAGCCACACUGGAACUGAAACACGGUCCAGACUCCUACGGGAGGCAGCAGUGGGGAAUCUUGCGCAAUGGACGAAAGUCUGACGCAGCCACGCCGCGUGAGUGAAGAAGGCCUUCGGGUUGUAAAGCUCUGUCGGAUGGGACGAACAUCUUCAUAGUGAAUAGCUAUGAGGACUGACGGUACCAUCAAAGGAAGCACCGGCUAACUCCGUG
rnacentral:rRNA from 1 species